GACUGAUAUAUGUGCCAUCUUUCGGUUACUGUAAUAGUAUUUAUAUUUAAAAUUUAAAAAUUCUAAACAAUAUUUAAAUUAUAUUAAAAUAUUUUUUUUCUUUAUAAAUAAAUAAAUAAGUAAUAAAUAAUUUAUAAAUAAUUAAUUUAUCUUUUAAAAAUAAAAUUUUUCAUAUUAAUAUCUCUAUUGUAUUAUUACUAAAUUUUUUUUAUUUCACACUUAUUAUUUUAAAUGAUAUUUUGUUAUCAUAUUUUGUUUCUAUAAUAAUAUAGUUAAUUUAACUAUAAUUAUUAAACUAUUUGUUCAUUUUAAUUUAUAUAUGAUAUUAUUCAUCAUUAUCAUCAAAUAAAUUUAAAACAAGAAAAUAUUAUAUAUAAAAACAUAACCUAAAAAAUAUUACAUUAGUGUAAAAUUCAUAAAAAGUAUUAUAAAAUUUUUUAUCUUUUUAUCUUUAUAUAAGAAAUAAUAAAAUCAUGUGCAAAAAUAAUAGAAAAUAUAAAAAAUAUUAUAAAUUACGAAAAAAUUAUAGUUAGUUCUUUUAAAUAAUUAUAUAAAUGUCAAAAUAAUUAUAAUUCCUAAUAAAAUAAAAUGUGAUAAUAAUAAAUUUAAAUAUUUAAAAUGAACGAAUGAAAGAAAAAAAAAUAAUAUUGAUUUAUGAAUAAAUACAUGUAUAAAUACAGUCAUUCUUUCAUCUUAUUACAAAUAUUAAAAUAAUAUAAACUUAUGAUCGUGAAUUCAAUUGAUUAAUAUUUCCAUAAAUUUUUCAAAUGGAAGAAUAUAUCCAUAUAUAAUAUAGAUAAGAAGAUAUUAUAGAUCUAAUAACACAAUUUAAAUGUGAAUACUUCUUCAUGCAAUUCUUUAUUAAUAAAUUACAUUUCAUUUUUAAAA